CGCUUAUAGCUCAAUUGGAUAGAGCGUCGGGUUUCGGUUCCGAAGGUUAUAGGUUCGAGUCCUUUUAAGCGUAA